GAUGAACGCUGGCGGCGUGCCUAAUACAUGCAAGUCGAGCGAACAGACGAGGAGCUUGCUCCUCUGAUGUUAGCGGCGGACGGGUGAGUAACACGUGGAUAACCUACCUAUAAGACUGGGAUAACUUCGGGAAACCGGAGCUAAUACCGGAUAACAUGUUGAACCGCAUGGUUCAACAGUGAAAGACGGUCUUGCUGUCACUUAUAGAUGGAUCCGCGCCGCAUUAGCUAGUUGGUAAGGUAACGGCUUACCAAGGCAACGAUGCGUAGCCGACCUGAGAGGGUGAUCGGCCACACUGGAACUGAGACACGGUCCAGACUCCUACGGGAGGCAGCAGUAGGGAAUCUUCCGCAAUGGGCGAAAGCCUGACGGAGCAACGCCGCGUGAGUGAAGAAGAUCUUCGGAUCGUAAAACUCUGUUAUUAGGGAAGAACAAAUGUGUAAGUAACUAUGCACGUCUUGACGGUACCUAAUCAGAAAGCCACGGCUAACUACGUG
rnacentral:rRNA from 1 species